AUUGAACGCUGGCGGCAGGCCUAACACAUGCAAGUCGAACGAGUGGCGGACGGGUGAGUAAUGUCUGGGAAACUGCCUGAUGGAGGGGGAUAACUACUGGAAACGGUAGCUAAUACCGCAUACCAUCGGAUGUGCCCAGAUGGGAUUAGCUAGUAGGUGGGGUAAAGGCUCACCUAGGCGACGAUCCCUAGCUGGUCUGAGAGGAUGACCAGCCACACUGGAACGUAGACACGGUCCAGAAUCCUACGGGAGGAAGCAGUGGGGAAUAUGGCGAAAUGGGAGGAAGACUGAUGCAGCCAUCCCGCGUGGAUGAAGAAGGCCUUCGGGUUGUAAAGUACUUUCAGCGGGGAGGCGUUACCCGCAGAAGAAGCACCGGCUAACUCCGUGCCAGCAGCCGCGGUAAUAC
rnacentral:rRNA from 1 species